UGUUGGGUUAAGUCCCGUAACGAGCGCAACCCUUGUCCUUAGUUACCAGCACGUUAUAGUGGGCACGUCUAAGGAGACUGCCGGUGACAACCGGAGGAAGGUGGGGAUGACGUCAAGUCAUCAUGGCCCUUACGGCCUGGGCUACACACGUGCUACAAUGGUCGGUACAAAGGGUUGCCAAGCCGCGAGGUGGAGCUAAUCCCAUAAAACCGAUCGUAGUCCGGAUCGCAGUCUGCAACUCGACUGCGUGAAGUCGGAAUCGCUGGUAAUCGUGAAUCAGAAUGUCACGGUGAAUACGUUCCCGGGCCUU
rnacentral:rRNA from 1 species